GGAGCAUUUUAGAGCAUAUUCAUAGUUUGUGGGAAAAACACCACAGAUAUAUACCGUAUAGUCAUCUAACCGAUCCACACUGAAUGUUCUGUGUUUCGGCUAUGGUUAAUAAGGCGGCCAGAAGACGAAGAUACCCUCAGGUUAAAGUACAAGUUUUAUAAAUUCUCUAUGCCAUGACGAAAUAUGUUUCUUAAAUUUCGACGACGAUCCAGCGGUUGCAAAAGUAGGCGGUUCGGAAGAGGUUACGGUCGUCCGGUUGAUCUAACGAAACCGGGCCAUCAAAUGCAUUACAUACAUUCGAAUACCGCCUGUCUAACUCGUCGAGUAACACCACACGAUCACUUCGAGUGAACGACACGACUCUCACCGACGAGCCCACUAGUGACUUGUUGGCCAUGCAAAGCAUUACUGAAUACUCUGACAACAGUACUCGUCGUGUACCGCCGCUCGGUUUUCCCCCGAGUGAGCGCUCGACUGUUUCCGUCCAACUUCGGCCCACCUGCACUCUAGCACGACGGCACGGCACAUAGUGCCGUAGCUUCGUCGCAUCGAGCCCUUUACUUCUCCUCGUGUCUAUCUUCGAAUCGCUUGCCACUAUCUUCUUACAUAAAACUUGCGUUUUUUCUGUAUUAAAAAAUCAGUGUAUCCACGCUACGAAUUACACCGAAGUAGGAAAAUAGCGUAAAAAUAAAAUUGCUCCUACUGAUUUCUGCUAUCGUAACUUUUAUUAAAACAAACUGAAUUAUUUUUGAUUCGUAUCGAUCGUUAUAUAACGUAUAUACUACGCGUAGGGAUUUACGUUACAUUAUCAUUGUAUCGUAGGAAAUUGAUAUUUCCUAAUGUCGGUG
rnacentral:misc_RNA from 1 species